rnacentral:tRNA from 1 species
UCCCUGGUGGUCCAGUGGUUAGGACUCUGCACUUCCACUGCAGAGGGUAUGGGUUCAAUCCCUGGCUGGGGAA